ACGGAAGGCAGCAGUGGGGAAUAUUGCACAAUGGGGGAAACCCUGAUGCAGCAACGCCGCGUGAAGGAAGACGGUCUUCGGAUUGUAAACUUUUGUUCUUAGUGAAGAUAAUGACGGUAGCUAAGGAGGAAGCCACGGCUAACUACGUGCCAGCAGCCGCGGUAAUACGUAGGUGGCAAGCGUUGUCCGGAAUUACUGGGUGUAAAGGGAGCGCAGGCGGGAAAUCAAGUUGGAUGUGAAAUGUCGGGGCUUAACCCCGGAACUGCAUCCAAAACUGAUUUUCUUGAGUGAAGUAGAGGUAGGCGGAAUUCCGAGUGUAGCGGUGAAAUGCGUAGAUAGUCGGAGGAACACCAGUGGCGAGGGCGGCCUACUGGGCCUUAACUGACGCUGAGGCUCGAAAGUGUGGGGAGCAAACAGGAUUAGAUACCCUGGUA
rnacentral:rRNA from 1 species